rnacentral:rRNA from 1 species
GGUCUGGUGGCGAGUGGCGAACGGGUGAGUAAUGUAUCGGAACGUACAUUUCAGUGGGGGAUAACGUAGCGAAAGUUACGCUAAUACCGCAUAUUCUGUGAGCAGGAAAGCAGGGGAUCGCAAGACCUUGCGCUGAUUGAGCGGCCGAUAUCAGAUUAGCUAGUUGGUGAGGUAAAGGCUCACCAAGGCGACGAUCUGUAGCGGGUCUGAGAGGAUGAUCCGCCACACUGGAACUGAGACACGGUCCAGACUCCUACGGGAGGCAGCAGUGGGGAAUUUUGGACAAUGGGGGCAACCCUGAUCCAGCCAUGCCGCGUGAGUGAAGAAGGCCUUCGGGUUGUAAAGCUCUUUCGGCCGGGAAGAAAUCGCAUGGGUUAAUACCCUGUGCGGAUGACGGUACCGGCAUAAGAAGCACCGGCUAACUACGUGCCAGCAGCCGCGGUAAUACGUAGGGUGCGAGCGUUAAUCGGAAUUACUGGGCGUAAAGCGUGCGCAGGCGGUUUUUUAAGACAGGCGUGAAAUCCCCGGGCUCAACCUGGGAACUGCGCUUGUGACUGGAAGGCUAGAGUAUGGCAGAGGGGGGUGGAAUUCCACGUGUAGCAGUGAAAUGCGUAGAGAUGUGGAGGAACACCAAUGGCGAAGGCAGCCCCCUGGGCCAAUACUGACGCUCAUGCACGAAAGCGUGGGUAGCAAACAGGAUUAGAUACCCUGGUAGUCCACGCCCUAAACGAUGUCAACUAGGUGUUGGGUGGGUAAAACCAUUUAGUACCGGAGCUAACGCGUGAAGUUGACCGCCUGGGGAGUACGGCCGCAAGGUUAAAACUCAAAGGAAUUGACGGGGACCCGCACAAGCGGUGGAUGAUGUGGAUUAAUUCGAUGCAACGCGAAAAACCUUACCUACCCUUGACAUGUCCAGGAGCCUGAAGAGAUUUGGGUGUGCCCGAAAGGGAACUGGAACACAGGUGCUGCAUGGCUGUCGUCAGCUCGUGUCGUGAGAUGUUGGGUUAAGUCCCGCAACGAGCGCAACCCUUGUCGUUAAUUGCCAUCAUUCAGUUGGGCACUUUAACGAGACUGCCGGUGACAAACCGGAGGAAGGUGGGGAUGACGUCAAGUCCUCAUGGCCCUUAUGGGUAGGGCUUCACACGUCAUACAAUGGUCGGUACAAAGGGUUGCCAAGCCGCGAGGUGGAGCCAAUCCCAGAAAGCCGAUCGUAGUCCGGAUCGCAGGCUGCAACUCGCCUGCGUGAAGUCGGAAUCGCUAGUAAUCGUGGAUCAGCAUGUCACGGUGAAUAC